rnacentral:lncRNA from 1 species
GACACGAUGCGGCGUGACGCAACGGCUCUGGGAGGUGAAAUUCUUCUCGAGGCAGAUGAAGAUGAUGAGGAACUUGUAAGUUGAAAUUUUUUAUUUGUUGAACACAUCUUAUUGUUUUAAUUGUUUUAAGACUAAAAUAUUUGUUUUUUUUUAGGAUUAUCAAUUGGUUUUGACACAUCUGUUGACUACAAAUACCGGUGACCAGUGCAGACAUAGAAUCUAUCAAGCAAUAAAUUUUGCGCUGUCUGCUUCCCGAACAAGAACAGAAUUAGGUAUUUUCGCUAAAAAAAAUUAUUUAUUUAUUGCUGUAAUUAAUUUAGUUUAUUGAUUUCAGUUUUUUCUUUUGGAUAGUGUCAGAAGACGAUGGUGAUGGUCUAGAGAGAUACAUCGUCAGAAGAAGGUAUUUAGAUUAAUAAUUGGUUUACUUUUUUUUUUUAAUGGAUGCAGUAACUUGGUUGGCAUCAUUCGCAUUUGUUUUGGAGAGGAUUGUCACAAAUAUAUUUAGCUUGAGUAAGGAGUAAACCACCAUUACACCGAUGCUUAAUUUCUAAUCCCAUAAAAUACUCCAACCUGCCAAGUUGCUUAAGAGCAAGAACUUGAUGAAGCUUAUGAGUGAUUUUCUGAAUGAUUAAAAUCAUUUACACGCUAUAUUAAUGAUUAAAAUCACUGUACUAUAUAGUGAAGACCAAACUGGUAAACACUUUCAAUCAAUUAUGUAACUAUAUUACAAUUUUUGGCUUUCCUUUUUAAAAGAAUUCUGUUGUGAUAUGUGAUCAUUUUUCAAGUGUGCAUUAUGUCUACUUUGGUUUGGAAUAUAUUG